GGGAAACGAUGUGGGAAGGCACAGACAGCCAGGAUGUUGGCUUAGAAGCAGCCAUCAUUUAAAGAAAGCGUAAUAGCUCACUGGUCGAGUCGGCCUGCGCGGAAGAUGUAACGGGGCUAAACCAUGCACCGAAGCUGCGGCAGCGACACUAUGUGUUGUUGGGGAGGGGAGCGUUCUGUAAGCCUGCGAAGGUGUGCUGUGAGGCAUGCUGGAGGUAUCAGAAGUGCGAAUGCUGACAUAAGUAACGAUAAAGCGGGUGAAAAGCCCGCUCGCCGGAAGACCAAGGGUUCCUGUCCAACGUUAAUCGGGGCAGGGUGAGUCGACCCCUAAGGCGAGGCCGAAAGGCGUAGUCGAUGGGAAACAGGUUAAUAUUCCUGUACUUGGUGUUACUGCGAAGGGGGGACGGAGAAGGCUAUGUUAGCCGGGCGACGGUUGUCCCGGUUUAAGCAUGUAGGCUGAUUGUCCAGGCAAAUCCGGAUAAUCAAGGCUGAGGUGUGAUGACGAGGCACUACGGUGCUGAAGUAACAAAUGCCCUGCUUCCAGGAAAAGCCUCUAAGCAUCAGGUAACAUUAAAUCGUACCCCAAACCGACACAGGUGGUCAGGUAGAGAAUACCAAGGCGCUUGAGAGAACUCGGGUGAAGGAACUAGGCAAAAUGGUGCCGUAACUUCGGGAGAAGGCACGCUGG
rnacentral:rRNA from 1 species